rnacentral:rRNA from 1 species
UAAAUUAUUAUUAUUCUUAUUUUUUAAAAAAUAAUUUGUAGUUUUAUUAAUUUUUAUUGAAAAAAUUUAAAAUAUGAUAGUUAAUUAGUAUAGUAGUAGAAAUUUAUUUAAAUAUUUAAUAGAAAAUUUAAUUUAUUGUACCUUGUGUAUCAGGGUUUAUUUAAUUUAUAUUAUUUAUUUUAAUUUUUUUGAAUUUAAAAGAGAAAAAAAAAAAUUUAUUUUAAUGUGAAAAAAUUAUUUAUAAUUUUUUUUUUGUAAUGAGAUGUUAUUCGUUUUUAAAUUUAUCAAAUUGUUAAAGAAAUAAAUUUAAUUUAUUGAUUUAAAUAUAAUUUUUAUUUUAAAUUAUUAUAUUAUUGAUCAAAAAUAAUUUAUGGGAUAAGCUAUAAAUUAAAAUCUUUAAAGUAUUAAAAUUAUUUAAAAUAAAUAAAAUUAUAAAUUUUUAUUUUUAAUAGUUUGUUAUAAUUAUUUUUAAUUUUUAUAUAAUUUAAAUUUACUUAAAAUUAUUUAUUUAAUUAAUUUAAUUAAUUAAUAAUUAAGUUUAAUAAUGAUAAAAUUAGUAUAAUAUUUUGUUAAAUUAAUAAAAAUUUUUAGAUAAAAUUAAGUAAUUCGGCAAAUAAUUUUUUCGCCUGUUUAAUAAAAACAUGUCUUUAAGAGUAUAAUUUAAAGUUUAAUCUGCCCACUGAGUAUUUAAUGGCCGCAGUAAUUUAACUGUGCAAAGGUAGCAUAAUAAUUAGUUUUUUAAUUGAAAGCUAGAAUGAAUGAUUGGACGAGAAAAAAUCUGUCUCAAUUUUAUAUAAUUAGAAUUUAAUUUUUAAGUUAAAAAGCUUAAAUAAUUUUAAAAGACGAGAAGACCCUAUAGAGUUUAAUAAUUUUUUUAAAUUUAUAAUUUUUAGAUUAAAUUUUUAUAUUUUAAUAAAUUAUUUAGUUGGGGUGACUUAAAAAUUUGAUAAACUUUUUUAUUAAUUAAACAAUUAUUUUUGAUUUAUUGAUCCUAAUUUUAGAUUAAUAGAUUUAAUUACCUUAGGGAUAACAGCGUAAUUUUUUUGAAGAGUUCUUAUCGAUAAAAAAGAUUGCGACCUCGAUGUUGGAUUAAGAUAAAUUUUUAAUGUAGAAGUUAAAAUAAUUAAGUCUGUUCGACUUUUGAAAUCUUACAUGAUCUGAGUUUAAACCGGUGUGAGCCAGGUUGGUUUCUAUCUUUAAUUAUAUUAAAUAAUUUAGUACGAAAGGACCAAUUAUU